CUCGCCGGUGGUCGAAGAGCAUCACACGUUCCCCAGACUCAAAGCAACGAGCGAGCCAGCACUUUCUGCUCAGAUCACCCGAUGGGUUCCAGGUCCUGCUCCUACGUCUUCUUGCUCGGCCUUUGCUCCCUGCUGCUAGUGGUGCUUUCAGGCCAGCGCACGCUAGCUCGAGACACUCCCGUGUCCACAGCAACGGCCUUGGCUCCAUUUGUUCAUGCGCCUGCCAAGGGCGAGGCCGGCGGCCACCGUGCUGAUGUGGAUAAGCCUCGAGUAUCGGAUGAGAAGCCAACAAUAACCGGAAUAACGUGGAGGCCCUUGCCUAAGAUCCACUGCCCGCCCAUCUUUUGCGCUACCAAGGCUGCCACUGCCACUGCCCCUGCGGCAACGGCACAUCCAUGACAAGAAGAAGAUAGAGUGGUGGUGUGCGGUGUAACCAUAUGUAUGCUUUGCUUUCCUGGUUUUAGUAAUUUAGAUAUAUAUAUGUAUGUGUUCCACGAGUGCUGCAGCGUGCCUGCAAAGGCCUCUCGAUGGAUACUGGUAGUGCUAUGCUAGCUAGCAGGGUCGGGUUGUAGUUUCAUUUGUUGUAUCUGUCGAUCAUGCAAUUGAUUGCUGUUUGUUGUUCCUUUU